rnacentral:lncRNA from 1 species
CUGCUUAGAAGAUGGAGCAGAUGAGGAUUAAGGGGUGGAGCUCAGCACCUAAAAGUUACCUGCAUGUGCUCUCGUCUACUUUUGGUCUGAAGAGUGGUAGGUUGCUUCCAAAUCAGUGGUAGGGUCACUAAAGAUAUGGUAAAAAGGUGGCACGUUCAUUCCAAAUGGAGGGAGAGCGUGUGUUGUGACUGCAUUUUCUGGUGAGUGAAAGGGUCGAUUUUAGCUACAGACCACAGUGCUGUCUCUAUUCGCCUACAUCAGGACCCACGCCCAUGGCAUUUCCUCUCUCUCUCACUCAUAAGCAACAGUGCCUUUCUCCAACUUUUGUAGGAGCAAGUAAUUUUUUUUUCUUUGAUUCUGUUCAACACUACUCCCUCCGUCCCAUAUUAUGGGACGGAAGGAGUAAUAUAUACGUGGACCUGACUAUUUUUUUUUACUUUUGAAAUCACAGGAAGCAGACACACACCGUUGCAAAUACAAUCAAUGGCGCUGGUGGUGGCCUGAGGAACCAGUUACUGUGAAUCUGUGAUGAUUGAUUGAUUAUGUCGGAGGGAUGGUUAAAAUAAAGAGAUGCGACGAAAACCGAAAGGUGGAGGGAUGGGGAUGGUGGUCCAGAAGAUGUUCCCACCUGCAGCACGCAGCCAACUCUUUUCUGCCCACUAUUGCCUCAGGUAUUUGCAUUUAUAAGAGAUAUAUGAAUACAUAGGAUAGGAACACGUGUCAGGCUUAACAACACUCAUCAGAAUUAUCAAACCACCCUCUAAACUUGGAAUUAGGGAGUGAUAAACAAAAGAUGUGAUGAUGUCCUGUCCUACUCCUUCCAACACCUUUAGGCUCAUCAGUUAAUUCCAUCUUUUACUCCAUAAUUUCACAUUGAUUACCCAUUGAGAAGAGUAUAUGCAACCUAUUAAAUUUAUUAGAGCAUCUACAGCCGGAAGAGGAUUUGUAGCGCCGGGGUGCUCUGGCCCCUAUAUGAACAUUAAGUUCAAAAAAAUACCAAGAAAAAUGAAGAAUAAAACCUGGUAUUUAGGGAUAUCAAACUUGGAUUGCUAAAUUUCAGUCGACUAUGACUUAACGAAGUCCUUAUAUUAUAUUCAUAAGAUCUUACGUGGACAUCUGUGUAAAGUUUUGCUUUGUUUUUCCUUUUUCUUUUUUAUAUGUU